rnacentral:rRNA from 1 species
CGAAGAACCUUACCAAGGCUUGACAUGGACCGGAUCGCCGCAGAAAUGUGGUUUCUCCUUUGGGGCCGGUUCACAGGUGGUGCAUGGUUGUCGUCAGCUCGUGUCGUGAGAUGUUGGGUUAAGUCCCGCAACGAGCGCAACCCUCGUUCCAUGUUGCCAGCACGUAGUGGUGGGGACUCAUGGGAGACUGCCGGGGUCAACUCGGAGGAAGGUGGGGACGACGUCAAAUCAUCAUGCCCCUUAUGUCUUGGGCUUCACGCAUGCUACAAUGGCCGGUACAAAGGGUUGCGAUACUGUGAGGUGGAGCUAAUCCCAAAAAGCCGGUCUCAGUUCGGAUUGGGGUCUGCAACUCGACCCCAUGAAGUCGGAGUCGCUAGUAAUCGCAGAUCAGCAACGCUGCGGUGAAUACGUUCCCGGGUCUUGUACACACCGA